GAUGAACGCUGGCGGCGUGCCUAACACAUGCAAGUCGAACGGAAAGGCCCUGCUUUUGUGGGGUGCUCGAGUGGCGAACGGGUGAGUAACACGUGAGUAACCUGCUCUUCACUUUGGGAUAACUUCACGAAACUGGGCUUAAUAUCGUAUCGCAGCUCCUGCUGCAUGGUGGGGGGUGGAAAGUUUCGGGGGUUGGGGUUGGAUUCGCGGCUUAAGAGCUUGUUGGUGGGCUAGUGGCAUACCAAGGCUUUGACGGGUAGCCGGCCUGAGAGGGUGACCGGCGACAAUGGUACUGAGGUAGGGAGCAGUCCGGAACGUGAGACAGCAGUGGGAAAUAUUGGACAAUAGUCGUGGGCAGGAGGCAAAGACGCCGCGAGCGGGAUGACGUUCUUCGGGUUAUAAACCGCAUUAGCCUGAGACGCAGCGUUGGUGACGGUAAUGGGUAAAGAAGCACCGGCUAACUUCGUG
rnacentral:rRNA from 1 species